rnacentral:rRNA from 1 species
CCUACGGGGGGCUGCAGUCGAGAAUCAUUCACAAUGGGGGAAACCCUGAUGGUGCGACGCCGCGUGGGGGAAUGAAGGUCUUCGGAUUGUAAGCCCCUGUCAUGUGGGAGAAAAUGACAAAGAUAGUACCACAAGAGGAAGAGACGGCUAACUCUGUGCCAGCAGCCGCGGUAAUACAGAGGUCUCAAGCGUGGUUCGGAAUCACUGGGCGUAAGGCGUGCGUAGGCUGUUUCGUAAGUCGUGUGUGAAAGGCCCGGGCUCAACCCGCGGACGGCACAUGAUACUGCGAGACUAGAGUAAAGGAGGGGGAACCGGAAUUCUCGGUGUAGCAGUGAAAUGCGUAGAUAUCGAGAGGAACACUCGUGGCGAAGGCGGGUUCCUGGACAUUAACUGACGCUGAGGCACGAAGGCCAGGGGAGCGAAAGGGAUUAGAUACCCGAGUAGUC